rnacentral:rRNA from 1 species
GNANGUCGAACGAUGAACUGGAGCUUGCUCCAGGGAUUAGUGGCGAACGGGUGAGUAACACGUGAGUAACCUGCCCUUGACUCUGGGAUAAGCGUUGGAAACGACGUCUAAUACCGGAUAUGAACUGUGACGGCAUCGUCUGCAGUUGGAAAGAUUUUUUGGUCAAGGAUGGACUCGCGGCCUAUCAGGUAGUUGGUGAGGUAACGGCUCACCAAGCCGACGACGGGUAGCCGGCCUGAGAGGGUGACCGGCCACACUGGGACUGAGACACGGCCCAGACUCCUACGGGAGGCAGCAGUGGGGAAUAUUGCACAAUGGGCGAAAGCCUGAUGCAGCAACGCCGCGUGAGGGACGACGGCCUUCGGGUUGUAAACCUCUUUUAGUAGGGAAGAAGGGAGCUUGCUCUUGACGGUACCUGCAGAAAAAGCACCGGCUAACUACGUGCCAGCAGCCGCGGUAAUACGUAGGGUGCAAGCGUUGUCCGGAAUUAUUGGGCGUAAAGAGCUCGUAGGCGGUUUGUCGCGUCUGCUGUGAAAUCUGGGGGCUCAACCCCCAGCCUGCAGUGGGUACGGGCAGACUAGAGUGCGGUAGGGGAGAUUGGAAUUCCUGGUGUAGCGGUGGAAUGCGCAGAUAUCAGGAGGAACACCGAUGGCGAAGGCAGAUCUCUGGGCCGUUACUGACGCUGAGGAGCGAAAGCAUGGGGAGCGAACAGGAUUAGAUACCCUGGUAGUCCAUGCCGUAAACGUUGGGAACUAGAUGUAGGGGCCAUUCCACGGUUUCUGUGUCGCAGCUAACGCAUUAAGUUCCCCGCCUGGGGAGUACGGCCGCAAGGCUAAAACUCAAAGGAAUUGACGGGGGCCCGCACAAGCGGCGGAGCAUGCGGAUUAAUUCGAUGCAACGCGAAGAACCUUACCAAGGCUUGACAUAUACCGGAAACGUCCAGAGAUGGUCGCCCCGCAAGGUCGGUAUACAGGUGGUGCAUGGUUGUCGUCAGCUCGUGUCGUGAGAUGUUGGGUUAAGUCCCGCAACGAGCGCAACCCUCGUUCUAUGUUGCCAGCACGUUAUGGUGGGAACUCAUAGGARACUGCCGGGGUCAACUCGGAGNAAGGUGGGGAUGACGUCAAAUCAUCAUGCCCCUUAUGUCUUGGGCUUCACGCAUGCUACAA